UGGGGAAUAUUGCACAAUGGGGGAAACCCUGAUGCAGCGACGCCGCGUGAGUGAAGAAGUAUUUCGGUAUGUAAAGCUCUAUCAGCGGGGAAGAAAAUGACGGUACCUGACUAAGAAGCCCCGGCUAACUACGUGCCAGCAGCCGCGGUAAUACGUAGGGGGCAAGCGUUAUCCGGAAUUACUGGGUGUAAAGGGAGCGCAGACGGCUAAGCAAGUCUGAUGUGAAAGUCAUGGGCUCAACCCAUGGAUUGCAUUGGAAACUGCGAAGCUGGAGUGUCGGAGGGGUAAGCGGAAUUCCUGGUGUAGCGGUGAAAUGCGUAGAUAUCAGGAGGAACACCGGUGGCGAAGGCGGCUUACUGGACGAUCACUGACGUUGAGGCUCGAAAGCGUGGGGAGCAAACAG
rnacentral:rRNA from 1 species